AAGUUAGAGAAGGGGAAGUCAGGCAAUAAAUUUGGGUGGUCUAGUGACACUAUUGACAAUGAACACUUGGGCCAUCGCUCAUCCAAAUGUUGUUUUGUUUAUGAAAAGCAACAUGCUUUUGGUGAAAGCUCCUCAGAAAGUGAAAAAGAAUAUGAAGACAACGGUGAUGUACUCUGUGCUUGGGGUCAUCAAAAGGGAAGACACAGCGAUCUUUCAAGCAGCCUGGUUAAUACUUCAUCUUCAAAGCCUCAAGACCCAUCUAAA
rnacentral:lncRNA from 1 species